rnacentral:rRNA from 1 species
GACGAACGCUGGCGGCGUGCUUAACACAUGCAAGUCGAACGAAGUGGCGAACGGGUGAGUAAUACGUGGGUAACCUGCCCCCCUUGUUGGGCUAAGCCUUGGAAACGGGGUCUAAUACCGACUAAAGGGGGAUGGGCUCGCGGCCUAUCGGCUUGUUGGUGGGGUGGUGGCCUACCAAGGCGGGGACGGGUAGCCGGCCUGAGAGGGUGACCGGCCCCAUUGGGACUGCGAAACGGCUCAGAGUCCUACGGGUGGCAGCCGUUGGGGAUGUUGCACAAUGGGCGAGAGCCUGAUCCGGGGACGCCGCGUGGGGGAUGAAGUCUUUCGGGUUGUAAACCUCUUUCGCUUUCGAUCGGGUAGGUGGAGAAGAAGCGCCGGCUAACUACGUGCCAGCAGCCGCGGUAAUAC